GACGAACGCUGGCGGCGUGCUUAACACAUGCAAGUCGAACGGAAAGGCCCUGCUUUUGUGGGGUGCUCGAGUGGCGAACGGGUGAGUAACACGUGAGUAACCUGCCCUUGACUUUGGGAUAACUUCAGGAAACUGGGGCUAAUACCGGAUAGGAGCUCCUGCUGCAUGGUGGGGGUUGGAAAGUUUCGGCGGUUGGGGAUGGACUCGCGGCUUAUCAGCGUGUUGGUGGGGUAGUGGCUUACCAAGGCUUUGACGGGUAGCCGGCCUGAGAGGGUGACCGGCCACAUUGGGACUGAGAUACGGCCCAGACUCCUACGGAAGGCAGCAGUGAGAAAUAUUGCACAAUGAGCGAAAGCCUGAUGCAGCAACUCCGCUUACCGUAUUACCGCCUUCGAUUUGUAAACCACUUUCGCCUGUGACGAAGCGUGAGUGACUGUAAUUAGUAAAAAAGCACCGGCUAACUACGUG
rnacentral:rRNA from 1 species